GGAGGUGGAGGGGGAAAGAGGUCGCGUCCCGUCCGCUGCUCUGCCGCUGAGUGACUCUGGGGGUCUAGCCCUGCCAGCCGGGCAGCGGCUCCGGGGCGGCAGCAAGCGGGCACCGACCGGGAACCGAUCGGAGAAACGGUGGGGAGGGAUGGCUUUGCCCGGAUAGCCGCUUUCCCACUGCCCUCUCCGCUGUUGCCGGCCGCUCCUAUGCGUUCGCGUGUUAAAGCUCAGGGCUUUCCCGGAAAAAAGGCGAGGAUUUGCGGAGGCUGAUGUUAUCAUGGAGCCACUUUCAUAACUCCAGGACUCUCUCUCCUGAGAAGUAAUGACCAGAUCAAAACCUGCCUUUUCAUACCUGAAUCAUUGUUCUAAGUCAACUAUUUCAGUCAAAACUAAACCUUCGGACCAAGCUUAAACCUGAUAUGUGUCCAUUUGUUUAUUGAUUCCAGCUAAGACAGGACCUCAGAAAAAGUAAGUACAAAUUAUUUUUUUCAGUAUACUCCAGGUAUUCAAUUUGGAUUGCUU